rnacentral:rRNA from 1 species
AGGGAAGAACAAGUGCGAGAGUAACUGCUCGCACCUUGACGGUACCUAACCAGAAAGCCACGGCUAACUACGUGCCAGCAGCCGCGUAAUACGUAGGUGGCAAGCGUUGUCCGGAAUUAUUGGGCGUAAAGGGCUCGCAGGCGGUUUCUUAAGUCUGAUGUGAAAGCCCCCGGCUCAACCGGGGAGGGUCAUUGGAAACUGGGAAACUUGAGUGCAGAAGAGGAGAGUGGAAUUCCACGUGUAGCGGUGAAAUGCGUAGAGAUGUGGAGGAACACCAGUGGCGAAGGCGACUCUCUGGUCUGUAACUGACGCUGAGGAGCGAAAGCGGGGGGGAGCGAACAGGAUUAGAUACCCCAGUAGUCACGCCGUAAACGAUGA